CUAAAACUUAGAGUAUAAUAAAAAAAAAAAAUAAAUAAAGAGAAGCAGAUGACUGGUGGAAAAGGCACCACCCAAGAGAAAGAUAUACUUGGAUUGUAUGAACUAUGAAAUGGGCUUUGAGACAGCAGGAACACCUCAAGAGAGAAACAAUAAUCCAGUAAAUACUAAACAUUAAGUGAAAUGCCUAGAAAAACUCUUUUAAGAUAUUUUCACAGGAAAUUCAAACAUGAUAAAGCAUAAGGAAAUCCACAGAGGUUGCUGAUAAGUCUUGAUUUGCAAACUUAUUCAUGUUUCUUUCAGAUAAAUGACAUGAUGACAGUCAGAAGACACAAGACACUAAAUUGUCCCUCAAUCCACUGUUCCAAUAGCAUGUGUGCUCCUGCCUCACUUGACUAGUGAAUAGGAGAUGAAAUCAAUUCAGCCAGUGAUUACUUUUACUUAAUGAAUGUCACAUCUGAGGUCAGGGUGUCAUAUGUGUGUGUGUAUUGGAGGGGGUAGCUGUAAAAUAACAUUGAUGUAAGUUUUGUUGUUGCCCCCCUAGGUGGUAAAUACCCAAAGUAUCAUUGAAUCCUAAGGUUUUAUAUUUGCUUGUUUUAUGCUACAUGUAAACCUAAAUUAGUGAACAUGAAACAUUGCAGGAGGGUCCUUCUAAACAACAUAGCGAAACUUGUGGCUCCACUAACUCUUCAACUCAACAAUUUGCAGCUCUUUGAACCAAACCUUGUAGUUCAUGUGUGUUACUGCUCACUAGAGAUAUGAGGCUUGCUAAUGUGAAAUACAUACUUUCCACUCAGAUUGUAAGGCCUUGAGACUGUGUCAUGGCAUAACUUGAUUUAAUCAUUGAGAGGCCUUAAUGACCACCCUUUCCCCUCCUUCAAAGCUAGUCCAAUUGAAUUUUUGUAUAGUGGUGGUGGUGAGAGUAGAACAAAGCAAAAUGGGAAAGGUAUAGGAGGGAGGAAGAAGUAGCCACAUUCUUAGCCUUACAUUUUUACUCAAAAGUUUCUAGAAAUGGAAGAAGGUUUGGGCAUACUACUCUGUAAAGGGGAUGUAAUGAAAAGGAAGAGGCCACGUGGCUCUAAUAAAGUCACCUGUUGGGAUACCUGCUCCUCACACCUUUCUUCUGUUCCUGUGCCUACCACAUACCUGUCUGUGUGUGACUGGGUGGUGACUCAGUUCUAAACAAGGCAUGGAGCUAAGAGGAAUCUAGGAUAUGAACAUUUCUCACUUUCAAAUAAUUUUAGUCUUGAAAAACAGGCUACAAACUUGAUUCUGGUGCUUUGAAUUUUCUGAUUUAAGGAAAACCUAUUUUUUUCUUAUGAUACAGAAAAUAAGAGAACAGAAAGAUAAAUCGAGGCCAAAAAAGCAAAACAAACAAAAACAUCCCAAAUCAGCAAAGCCACUAACAUUUGUAAGUAUCUUCAUAAUUAUGUAGGGAAGCAUCACUUGAAAAUCUAUAUGAAUUUUUCAAUAAAAGCAAGAGCAGGCUGGGCACAGUGGCUCACGCCUGUAAUCCCAGCACUUUGGGAGGCCGAGGCAGGUGGAUCACCUGAGGUCAGGAGUUCGAGACCAGCCUGACCAACAUGUAGAAACCCCAUCUCCUUAGCCGGGCGUGGUGAUGCAUGCCUGUAAUCCCAGCUACUCGGGAAGCUGAGGCAGGAGAAUAGCUUGAACCUGGGAGGUGGAGGUUGCAGUGAGCAGAGAUCGCGCCAUUGCAUUCCAGCUUGGGCAACAAGAGUGAAACUCCGUCUCAAAACGAAACAAAACGAGAGCAAAACAAUUAUGCGUAUAGUUGAAACUGGUUAAUAUGCACAUAUGGGUUAGCCUAAAAAAUUAAUUUGAACAUUACAGACUAUAGGAAGAUAAGUUUUUGUUACAUCAUCUGGAUUUUAUUUUUCAGGAUGGGUGAAUAAUAAUAAAAUAAUAACAAAGCUGCAACCUGAAAGCAAAAUUCAGUAGUAUUCCUUUUUUUCUGCUUCCAAAAUGGACUAUUAUUUUGAGAUCUAUAGUUUCAAAAUUAAUUUGAUUUUAAAAUUGAGCUAGUAUUUUGUCCUAAAUGUUUUUAACAUUGUGGCAUCAACCACCUAAGAAUAAGCUGCAAAAUCUAUUAAUUUAACAUGGUUAAUCUAAAUCACACCAAAUAUUGUUGUUAAAAUGAAAAGACUACACUGUGGGCAUUUUUGAUACCCAAAUCUUUGCUUUGUAUGUUUGUUUUGUAUGUUUUCAAUUAUCUCAUGAUUCACUUGCAUGGUCUAUACUUACUUGCAUUUUAUUUAGAUCUCUUGGCACAAUGUUCAUUUUGCUUUUGUGAGUUUUUCUGGCAUCAUUAUAAUAAACUAUUUUAAAAUUAGAUAUUACAAUAAUUUAUUUCAUACUAUCAGUGCCGUGUAUUUUAUUCUUCACCAUCAAUAUCAGAAGUUACUAAGAGAGAGGGUUGAAAAUGAGUUGUCUGAAUAUUAUUGAAAGUUACCUGGAAUAUACCCUACUCUCAUUUUUGACAUAUAAUAGUACAACUAAAAUGUUACAAUGUUUGACUUUUUAUACUGUUGCGGAAGACACUGAAAUGCAGUAGGUAGUGGCACAAUCUUCAUUUUAAGGAAAUAAUAGACUACUUUCUGACAAUCUAUUUGGAUUUAAGCAAUGUAGAGUGAGA
rnacentral:lncRNA from 1 species